GUGAAGAACGCAGCGAAAUGCGAUAAGUAAUGUGAAUUGCAGAAUUCAGUGAAUCAUCGAAUCUUUGAACGCACAUUGCGCCCGCCAGUAUUCUGGCGGGCAUGCCUGUCUGAGCGUCAUUUCAACCCUCAUGCCCCUAGGGCGUGGUGUUGGGGAUCGGCCCGCCCCGCGCGGCGCCGUCCCCCAAAUACAGUGGCGGUCCCGCCGCAGCCUCCCCUGCGCAGUAGUUAUCAACUCGCACUGGAGCGCGGCGCGGCCACGCCGUAAAACCCCCGACUUUUAGAAAGUUGACCUCGGAUCAGGUAGGAAUACCCGCUGAACUUAAGCAUAUCAAUAAGCGGAGGA
rnacentral:misc_RNA from 1 species